rnacentral:misc_RNA from 1 species
CAAUCUUCUGGGUCAAACCUGAAAAUGUGCCAAGAAAUUAUGCCAGUGUUGCAGUCAGAGGGGGCAAGAAACAAGUAAACUUUCACUUUGAGAUAUAAUUGCUUUUUUUGUUAAAAAAAAAAAAGACAUUAAAGAAUAACUUCAGCUCAUCCCCCAAUUCAUAAAGUUGAAAGUGUACUUAGAAUUCUGGAGUAGAAAUAUCUGAGUUAGUUUCACAGUAAAUCUAAAGCUUAGUUACGUUACAAGUAUGAGCCUGUAACCUAAGAUUAAUGUGAAAUGAGAAUCCCUCCAAACACCAGCUGACAAUGGCUAAUCACUUUCCUUGAUAAGAGGAUAAAUUCAGGACAAUAUAGGGCUCACAAAAGAACUAAUCAGGCUUACGCCUCAUUUCCCAAGAGAAGGUAUUUUAAGAAAACAAAUAAUAAAUAAAAAUUUGGUGGUUCUGGACACCAAGUAUGCACAAACCAGAAGGGGUCAUGUUAUCCAAAUUAAGGUUCUCUCUUUAUUUAUUUCUUAAGCAUAUGAAACUUGCUGAUAACCAAAAUUUGGCAAGAAUAUAAGAAAGAACCUUACCUGAAUAUAUUCUAUCUAAU